rnacentral:rRNA from 1 species
AUUGAACGCUGGCGGCAGGCCUAACACAUGCAAGUCGAGCGGAUGAAGGGAGCUUGCUCCUGGAUUCAGCGGCGGACGGGUGAGUAAUGCCUAGGAAUCUGCCUGGUAGUGGGGGAUAACGUCCGGAAACGGGCGCUAAUACCGCAUACGUCCUGAGGGAGAAAGUGGGGGAUCUUCGGACCUCACGCUAUCAGAUGAGCCUAGGUCGGAUUAGCUAGUUGGUGGGGUAAAGGCCUACCAAGGCGACGAUCCGUAACUGGUCUGAGAGGAUGAUCAGUCACACUGGAACUGAGACACGGUCCAGACUCCUACGGGAGGCAGCAGUGGGGAAUUUUGGGCAAUGGGCGAAAGCCUGAUCCAGCCAUGCCGCGUGUGUGAAGAAGGUCUUCGGAUUGUAAAGCACUUUAAGUUGGGAGGAAGGGCAGUAAGUUAAUACCUUGCUGUUUUGACGUUACCAACAGAAUAAGCACCGGCUAACUUCGU